AUUGAACGCUGGCGGCAGGCCUAACACAUGCAAGUCGAACGAGUGGCGGACGGGUGAGUAAUGUCUGGGCAACUGCCCGAUGGAGGGGGAUAACUACUGGAAACGGUAGCUAAUACCGCAUACCAUCGGAUGUGCCCAGAUGGGAUUAGCUAGUAGGUGGGGUAACGGCUCACCUAGGCGACGAUCCCUAGCUGUUCUGAGAGGAUGACCAGCAACACUGGGACUGAGACACGGUCCAGACUCCUACGGGAGGCAGCAGUGGGGAAUAUUGCACAAUGGGCGCAAGCCUGAUGCAGCCAUGCCGCGUGUAUGAAGAAGGCCUUCGGGUUGUAAAGUACUUUCAGCGAGGAGGCGUUACUCGCAGAAGAAGCACCGGCUAACUCCGUGCCAGCAGCCGCGGUAAUUC
rnacentral:rRNA from 1 species